rnacentral:piRNA from 1 species
UAGCUCCAAAAGCUCUUCUAUUUGUGGUC